AAUUCCCUACCUGGUUCGUGUGGGAAGUAAGUAUUUGAGCCAACACAUCGGCCUUGGAAGAUCAAAUACCGGAAAGGAAAGGGAGCUCUCGAGAUUCCCGAGCUUUGCGUGAGAUCAUCCACUUUGUUAGAAGGCCCAAGUCUAUUCUCUCACACGGCCAAGAGUGGGGAAUUU
rnacentral:other from 1 species